ACUCUUCAACCCACCGGUUCCUUGUUGAACUGCUGUGGUGUUUGGAUUUUGAACGCUGCUAUGUAAUUAGCUCGCUCGUAAUACAUUAGCAUCUCAAUUUCGUAAUCGGAUUGACUCAGCGUAAUAGACUAUUCGCUGAGGACACUUUUUCAGAGUGGCCGAGACAUGAAAAGUUAGAAGCUUCAAACCCAUCUAGUCAUUCUUAAG
rnacentral:misc_RNA from 1 species